UGUAAGCGUCGCAACUGGCGUUGGGUGGGUAACCACCAGGAAGCGGCACAAGCAAGUCAAACCACGGAUCGCACGCCUGGGCCAUGGUC
rnacentral:ncRNA from 2 species